ACCGAAGCCCGUAACCGCCUCCGGGCGUGACGGGUGGCUGGUAUCCUCCUUCUGAGGGGUGUAUGGCGCAGCGUGGGCCGGCCUCAGGGUCGCGAAUUCCCAAUGUUGCGGCGGCUCACCCCUUGGGCAACUCAGUGGGGGCAAUUGGAUAGCUCAUGGACACCUUUGGCGGCUUCGGCCCCGGGGAUGGCUUGAGCUGGGCGUGUUGGGCUUCGGUUCAUGUCCCGACCUCUUAACUAACUCUGACCCCUCUUCAUUGAGGGUUGCCGGUGGUCCGUCGUCCUUCGGGGCGGGGUGAUUUCCCGGCUAAGAUAGUUACCUGGUUGAUUCUGCCAGUAGUCAUAUGCUUGUCUCAA
rnacentral:misc_RNA from 1 species